AGGACGAACGCUGGCGGCGUGCUUAACACAUGCAAGUCGAGCGGAAAGGCCCUUCGGGGUACUCGAGCGGCGAACGGGUGAGUAACACGUGGGCAACCUGCCCUUAGCUUCGGGAUAGCUCCGGGAAACCGGAAUUAAUACCGAAUAUGACUUUGGCUGACAUCAGCAGAAGUGGAAAGUUUUUCGGCUAGGGAUGGACUCGCGGCCUAUCAGCUAGUUGGUGAGGUAACGGCCCACCAAGGCGACGACGGGUAGCCGGCCUGAGAGGGCGACCGGCCACACUGGGACUGAGACACGGCCCAGACUCCUACGGGAGGCAGCAGUGGGGAAUAUUGCGCAAUGGGCGAAAGCCUGACGCAGCGACGCCGCGUGGGGGAUGAAUGCCUUCGGGUUGUAAACCCCUUUCAGCAGGGACGAAGCGAAAGUGACGGUACCUGCAGAAGAAGCGCCGGCUAACUACGUGCCAGCAGCCGC
rnacentral:rRNA from 1 species